rnacentral:rRNA from 1 species
AUUGAACGCUGGCGGCAUGCCUUACACAUGCAAGUCGAACGGUAACAGGUCUUCGGAUGCUGACGAGUGGCGAACGGGUGAGUAAUACAUCGGAACGUGCCUAGUAGUGGGGGAUAACUACUCGAAAGAGUGGCUAAUACCGCAUGAGAUCUACGGAUGAAAGCAGGGGAUCGCAAGACCUUGUGCUACUAGAGCGGCCGAUGGCAGAUUAGGUAGUUGGUGGGAUAAAAGCUUACCAAGCCGACGAUCUGUAGCUGGUCUGAGAGGACGAUCAGCCAUACUGGGACUGAGACACGGCCCAGACUCCUACGGGAGGCAGCAGUGGGGAAUUUUGGACAAUGGGCGCAAGCCUUAUCCAGCAAUGCCGCGUGCAGGAUGAAGGCCUUCGGGUUGUAAACUGCUUUUGUACGGAACGAAAAGCCCUGGGUUAAUACCCUGGGGUCAUGACGGUACCGUAAGAAUAAGCACCGGCUAACUACGUGCCAGCCGCCGCGGUAAGAC